ACGUAGGGAGCAAGCGUUGUCCGGAAUUACUGGGCGUAAAGGGCGCGUAGGCGGGGAUUUAAGUCAGAUGUGAAAGCUCCGGGCUCAACUUGGAGAGUGCAUUUGAAACUGGAUAUCUUGAGGGCAGGAGAGGAAAGUGGAAUUCCUAGUGUAGCGGUGUAUGGCGUGGAUAUUAGGAUGAGCACCAGUGGCGAUGGCAGCGAACUGGACUGUAGCUGACUCUGAGGCGCGAAAGAAUUGGGAGCGGGCUG
rnacentral:rRNA from 1 species